CUUUAUUUGACAGGUUAUUAUGGGGAUGGAAUAAAAUAUGAUAUAAACUGUCUGUUGUCAAAGGUAUCCCCAAUAGUCAAAAACCAGGAAAUAAUUGAGUGGAGUCUUCAGAAAAAUCUGACAGGUACUUACCUAAGACUGGUCUAUUUCUGCUUGCAAAACUGCCUACCCCCUUACACAGCACCAGAAAUCAGUGAAUUGGAAGAGGAUGAAUAACAGACUAAAUUGAUGCCGUAGUGAAGACAAUGAAACAGAUCCAGAGAGAUGGACUGACCUUGCCCAUGACUCACAGAAAGUGACCAACCUAGCAAGCCUAGGACCCCAGACUGCCAUGAAAACAUCCACAUGUACAUGGUGUGGCGGCUCAUUUACAAAAAGGAGCUGCUAUUAUUGCCAUCUUGGCUAUCUGUGAUGCUUGCAACUCAUCGGGGCUCCUCGGGGCACAGGACUCCAGGACCGACUCUCCAGCACCGCCUCUCCAUCGCCAGUUCUUGCUACUAACCGCUGCCUUCUUGGAGGGUUUUCAUUUCCCAGUGUACACUUUCAGCGCAUAGAAUGUGCAUAUUAUAUUCAAAGGUUUCCUGUCACUUAAGUAGUAACGUCUUAGUUUUCUCUUAAGCUCUCACACCCAGCACACUGCCUGACAGAGAGCAUUUGUGAAAGGGUGCAUGAACUACACAGAAGUGAACUGAUGUGAGCUUUUUAUAUGUACACCUAAAAGUAAACGUUUUCAGAAUAUCAUGAUGGAGGGAACCAGAUUGCUGUUAUCAAACACACCUAGAUUCUGCAUCAUACAACCAGGUAUAACCUCUUAGUUCCCCUUCAGGUCAUCCCAGAAAGAUUAAACUGCAGCACUGAAAAAGUUCUGCAUAAUCAUUACUGAUAAUAUAUUGCAUAAAGCUAGAAAUUCUCCAAAUAAAAAAAGUCUAAGAAUAUAAUCUGGAAAAAUAGGGGGCCCUUUCCCAACCAAGCUUCUGCUCCUUGAGAACAUUCUACCACAGUAUAUAAUAUGAAAGGUGAGAAGUGUUAAGAAAAGGAUAAUAUCAAAUUUGACAUCUUGCAAGGAAAGCACCGUGAUUUUUUUUUAAUUUUCUUUAGAAAUCCAGGUGACAAAUCAGUCAUUCUUUUAAAAGACAUGUUGCAAUAUCACUGUUGAAUAGCCUUACUAGACAUUUAAACAUAGUCCUACUUCUAAUCCUGCCAGCUCUUCACAGUCUUAAUAUACAUAGGAAUCACUAUUUGAAGAUAUAUUUGCUUUUUAUAGGUUUAAUUCUUUACUGAGAGAAACAUGAAGCAACAACUAUGUUUGCCUUUUGUGCCCAACGUCUAUGAACAAUGCUUGCCACACAUUUGAAACUCAAUUAAUUGUUGAAUAAAUGAAUGAAUGAACUAGACUCAAUCUAAACAGCAUUUUAAAUUUUGUAUAACAAAAUAAUAUCAAUCUAGAAACAAUUAUGGUGCUAAAAGAAUCUGUUUUCCAUCAAAACUAUCUUAAUUCUCCAGUUUUAGUAAGUACAGAUUUUAAGCUUAGGGGGUUUCCUGCCAGUUUUUCAGCUACUUUACCUGGUCGUUUAGUUUUCCUUCCCUCCCUCCCUUAAACCCACUUUUCUUUUUUUCCUUUUUUCUGUUCCUCCUCUUACUUUCUCUUUUUUGAAAAAAAUGACCUUUAUCAAACAUGUGGUCACUGCUUAUAAUUAUCAAUUUCUAGAUAUUUAUCAAUAGCUUUUGCAAUAUUAUUUUGUUAUGCCAAAUUUAAAACAUUUAAAACCAACUUGUUACACUGUUUAGAUUAAUUUGAGUUUAGUUCAUUCAUUCAUUUAUUCCCCACACCCACCUCAGCCUCCUGAGUAGCUGAACUGCUGGCACAUGCCACACACCACUGAACCCAUUAAAUUUCUUUAAAUUUUCAGUAGAGACGAGGUCUUGCUACGUUGCUUGGACUGUAUCAAUAGCUUUUAAUACAGCUUAUUUUUGCUUCCUACUGCCUAAGCCGAACUUAAAUGUAAAAUUUCGAAGAUAAUCCUUAGAUCUAUCUUAAAAUGAAUAUGUUAACAGCAGACUUUGUCAAGUUAGAUUUAACGAUGCCACUCGACUUCUAAAUCAUGGCGUAUCUUUGUGUUGAAAUAUCUCUCAAUUGCUUACUUAGUAGUAAUUUUUAAAAUAUAAGUUUCUAUUUUUUCUUUUUUUUUUGAGACAGCAUCUCGCUCUGUCACCCAGGCUGGAGUGCAGUGGCGCGAUCUUGGCUCACUGCAACCUCCAUCUCCUAGGUUCAAGCGAUUCUUCUGCCUCAGCCUCCUGAGUAGCUGGGACUACAGGCGCGCGCCACCACACCUGGCUAAUUUUUGUAUUUUUAGUAGAGACAGGGUUUCACCAUAUUGGCCAGGCUCAUGAUCUACCCACCUCGGCCUCCCAAUGUGCUAGGAUUACAGGCAUGAGCCAUGGCGCCCGGCCAAGUUUCUAUUCUUAAAAUAAAGAGGUUAUACAUCUAAAUUACAAAUCGUGGCCAAAAAGAGAGACAAUUUUUACUACGUUUUCCCCCCAGUAUGUAAAUACUGUGUAUGUGAUUCAUACAGGGCAUCGUCGGUGGAUUUUGGGCAAGUAAUAGCCCUUUCAAACGAACUGCUUCUCAAGCUACUCAUUUGUUUCCUAGGAUUAGAGGGUAGAAAUCCUGAUUUUGGUAUUCACUUACUAAACCUUUCAUGUCCAAUUUUUACUUGACUUAAAUGUUAUUUCUCCAAGAUGUUGUUAACUCCCUUGCAAUCCAAUAAUACUAUUGAGCAUUUUUCCUUUCUUAACUGUGAUUAUAUUUGUCACCUAUAUGCUCAUUUAUUUAUAUGCGUUUCUACCUUUUAUAUGUAUUGCUACCUGACACUAUCUCUGACCUCAAAUAAAGUAACAUUUUAUUUCUGUGGUCUUUACAUUCUUUUUGCUCCCUGAUUUUCAUUGCCU
rnacentral:lncRNA from 10 species